rnacentral:rRNA from 1 species
UAGGGAAUCUUCGGCAAUGGACGAAAGUCUGACCGAGCAACGCCGCGUGAGUGAAGAAGGUUUUCGGAUCGUAAAACUCUGUUGUUAGAGAAGAACAAGGACGUUAGUAACUGAACGUCCCCUGACGGUAUCUAACCAGAAAGCCACGGCUAACUACGUGCCAGCAGCCGCGGUAAUACGUAGGUGGCAAGCGUUGUCCGGAAUUACUGGGCGUAAAGCGCACGCAGGCGGUUUGUUAAGUCAGAUGUGAAAUCCUCGGGCUCAACCUGGGAACUGCAUCUGAUACUGGCAAGCUUGAGUCUCGUAGAGGGGGGUAGAAUUCCAGGUGUAGCGGUGAAAUGCGUAGAGAUCUGGAGGAAUACCGGUGGCGAAGGCGGCCCCCUGGACGAAGACUGACGCUCAGGUGCGAAAGCGUGGGGAGCAAACAGG